rnacentral:rRNA from 1 species
UGGUAGUNCACGCCGUAAACGCUGAGUGCUAGGUGUUAGGUCCUUUCCGGGACUUAGUGCCGACGCUAACGCAUUAAGCACUCCGCCUGGGGAGUACGACCGCAAGGUUGAAACUCAAAGGAAUUGACGGGGGCCCGCACAAGCGGUGGAGCAUGUGGUUUAAUUCGAAGCAACGCGAAGAACCUUACCAGGUCUUGACAUCCCGAUGCCCGCUCUAGAGAUAGAGUUUUACUUUUUGUACAUCGGAGACAGGUGGUGCAUGGUUGUCGUCAGCUCGUGUCGUGAGAUGUUGGGUNNNNNNNNNNNNNCGAGCGCAACCCUUAUUGUUAGUUGCCAUCAUUAAGUUGGGCACUCUAGCGAGACUGCCGGUAAUAAACCGGAGGAAGGUGGGGAUGACGUCAAAUCAUCAUGCCCCUUAUGACCUGGGCUACACACGUGCUACAAUGGUUGGUACAACGAGUCGCAAGCCGGUGACGGCAAGCUAAUCUCUGAAAGCCAAUCUCAGUUCGGAUUGUAGGCUGCAACUCGCNUACAUGAAGUCGGAAUCGCUAGUAAUCGCGGAUCAGCACGCCGCGGUGAAUACGUUCCCGGGCCUU